rnacentral:rRNA from 1 species
CACUCCUACGGGAGGCAGCAGUGGGGAAUAUUGCACAAUGGGCGCAAGCCUGAUGCAGCCAUGCCGCGUGUAUGAAGAAGGCCUUCGGGUUGUAAAGUACUUUCAGCGGGGAGGAAGGCGAUAAGGUUAAUAACCUUGUCGAUUGACGUUACCCGCAGAAGAAGCACCGGCUAACUCCGUGCCAGCAGCCGCGGUAAUACGGAGGGUGCAAGCGUUAAUCGGAAUUACUGGGCGUAAAGCGCACGCAGGCGGUCUGUCAAGUCGGAUGUGAAAUCCCCGGGCUCAACCUGGGAACUGCAUUCGAAACUGGCAGGCUAGAGUCUUGUAGAGGGGUGUAGAAUUCCAGGUGUAGCGGUGAAAUGCGUAGAGAUCUGGAGGAAUACCGGUGGCGAAGGCGGCCCCCUGGACAAAGACUGACGCUCAGGUGCGAAAGCGUGGGGAGCAAACAGGAUUAGAUACCCGUGUAGUCCCAUG